CAAACUGGCUCGUUGUUAAAAAGCCAUCAUCCACUCACUGCCAUUUGUCUCCCAACUGUAGUUUUUACCCUGCAUCCAUUUCCCCCCCCCCAACCCUGUAAACAACUUAAUCACCAAUCAGCCAGGCUGGUGGAUGAAGCAAAUGACCACAGUCAUCAGUCUGAAUGGGAAAAUUAUACCGGGCAACUUCGGGAGAUCAGGAGAGGCGUACUCUGCUGUACUCCUCCGUCUUGCAGUCGCAUAAUGAAAUGCGACAGUGUGAAUAAAUUCAAAAAAAGGCAAAAGCUUGGAAGGUGUAAUCAAUCUUCUAAUUAUCAGUGAGAAGCAGAGGAUUCGGCUUAUUAGAUGGCGCUAUAAAACAUAGGGAGGUGGAAACCUAAAAUGUCCAGAUGAUGGAAUGGAUGUAUAGCUUCAUUUAAGGGUUAAUAUUUAACAGGCCAUAUUCGCCUUUUUUGACUGUUUGGGAUUUCCUGGAAACAUAUAAUUCAUGGCAGUUAAGCCAUGUUCUGUGUAUUAACCCCUAACCACAGCCCCCACCCCUUCAUGUGGCAAUGGUUCGCUCCAACCCUGGGAGAGAAAGAUGAAAGUGACAAGGAUGGGCGAGAACAGGCCAUCGGGCCUGCAUAUGGCGCGGGUGAGUUAACUGAACUGGGCUGGCGAGCGUGUCGGUGCGGCUGGGGCGGGCAGAGGGAGGCGGACCUCUGCUAAUCAGCCUGAGCUGCCGCUUCCAAUAGGAGAGAGCAGAAGCGUGAGAGAGAACAGAGAGAGUCGAGGUCAGGCGGCGGAAGAAAGUUUUCCCUCGAUGUUGAAGAGUAUGUCGAUUCACCGCCCCCCCCCCCUUCCCAUGGGGGUUAAAUUAACUCAGGCAUGGUGUUUGUUUCCGUUGGCCUCCCCCGGCCAGUCUGGCAGGUGAGCGUCACCACCAUCCAUUCUGGUUUCACGGGAGUAUACGGUGAGUGAUCUCAGCUUAGGGGAUGUUUAAUGAGUGCAAUCUCCGUUAUGCACCUUCAGCCCUGUCUGGUGCUUCACAUCCCUCACCCGUUAUCGGACGUUACCGCGGGAACAGAGGCGGACCUUGGGCUGUGAGCGCCUGGCUCUUACCUAGCGGAGAAACGAGCCAAAAAUGUCGGGAUGUGACGUCUAUUUAAAGUUUAACUCUCGCUAUCGCGUCGCCACCUUUCUCUCCACGCCGCUCCCAAAUUAGCCUGCGAUAAUGUUUUAGCACUCGGUAGGAACACAAACCAAAGAUAAAGAAGAGCCUACGGAGCCGACUACAAACCAGCAGGACACAGUGAAAGCCGCAUACUAGGUAGCCAUGGAAACGGUUCCCGUGUGACCCAGAGGCCUCUGUUGUUAGCACACAUUAGGCUAAUGGAACGUACAGCGAUCAGGGACAAAGCUAAAUUUUUACACGGAGGGGCACUGGGUCAGUGCGAGUAUUCCCAUUCAAAACAAAAAAAAAAAAAACAAUAUACGGUUGAGAAAGGCAGCUGAGGUGCUGACCUCAUGUACACUGUGUGUGGCCUCAAUGGUGAUGAGGUAAUCAGAGACGUGGCCUACCAUUGGCCAAGUGUGAGCUCAUCGCUGGGACAGCUGGCCCACCUGGAGACAUACAGGGCUGGAUUAGCAUGAUCAGUCCCCGGCUACCCAGUCUUUAACUGGGCACAAGGGAGCGUCACCUGCCUACACAGCCCCCGCCAAACGGCAUACGCACAUGACAUACGGCCUGGUGCUUAACAUACUGGAACACGCUAGGGGUCAGUCGUUUUUUUCUUAGUAGAGGAUGCGAACACGGAAAAAAGGCCCAAUGACAGACUGGCACAGCAAAACCUGUGCUAUCAGUCCUCCAUCACGGGGCAGCCUAGCAAGCAUCAGUGUUAGAGUCAGCACCAUAUCUAUGUAAGACCAAGACCAAGACCACGGUCGACAGAAUCAGAGUGGGAUCCCCUCGUAAGCCAAUUGCUGACCAUAUUCAAAUCAGUCUGUAACCGCAUCCAAUCAAAGACGUUCAUUUUUGUUACAUCACAUGAUUUUGAUUGCGCCUGUUCAUUAAAGGGUGUCAAAAACAUCCCAGUCAUGUCUCUCCCUAUGUUUUCUACGGGAAGACAAAACACAAAAGCCAUUCAAUCCACCAUUCAUUCAUUUUUCAAAAUCAACCCACUCUGGCUGAUCCAGAAUACAUCCCAGAAAGCACAGCACAAAAAGCAGGAUGCACUCUGGGUAGAAUCUCUAUUCAUCUCGGGGGCAAUCAUACACUUUACAGGCAAUUCGGGGUCACCGAUUCGCUUGACCCACACGCCUUUCCAAGGCGAGAUGAUGUACGAACACAACACUGGACAAAAACACACGCAUGGAUGGAGGACCAAAUUUUAAAACCUUGCCCCCAGCCCCAGAGGCCCGAGGCAAACAGCAAAAACUGCUGGUUUCACGCCACGUACCACUAAACACCACAAGCCAAAAAACAAUAAGUCCUCCCGACAUUGCAAGCUACUGGCCGAAGCUAUCUGUUGUUCGGAGAUGUUCCACCUUCUGCCAAAACGGGCCAGAACAGCAGGCCUCUUUUGGAGACGUGUGUCCCCAGGUCCAGACUACUAACCGACAGAAUGAGUGACGUACACCUAACACAAGAAAGGAGCACAUUUGUAUGCAAAACUAGCUAGUCCUGAUUUUAAUAGACUUUUGAAGCAGCCGAUCGUCAUUUACUUAAUCUCCCCAUUUGCAUGCAUAACGUAGUGAAAGAUAGAGCGCGGUCGCAUUUCAUUGGCCCCUGUGCAGCCUUAAGCCGACUCCAGCGGAAGUGGUACCAGCAGCGCUGGUGACACCAUUAUCACACCCCCCCCCCCACAACUUAUGCCCACCAGGACCAGCAUGAAGCAGUCAUUAAAUCGACAAGCGAACACAUAAUCUCCUAAUAAUUGAGCCUGAUGACAGAAGCUCUGUGGACUACUUGACAUUGUGAUUCAAAGUGAGCUUUGUUUGGAAAGCACUUCAGUGGGACUGCCCCUCUAAUCUGUCAGCUACUCUGCCAGCGGAUGAUGUCUGAAUACUGCUUUUCUUGGAAGACUUCAGCUUCAUUACCCUUUAUCAUCCUUCCUGUCCUAAUUUCUAACCGUUACUUAGGCACAACAAACCCAAAUUAAGGGCAACUUUACUAGAACAUGUUUUAUCCAUCUACCCCCCCCCCCCACAAAAAAAGUGAUAUUUAAAACAAUCAUCACUUUUGUAUUAGCGAAAUUUUCAUACGUAUUUAUAUGCAUAACAUGACAUUUGCGUAAAUGUACACCAUGUGGAAUUACAUUGAAGUAGAUGUUAUGUCACGAGCAUUUCAGGAGAUGCAAAGUUCACUCAACACAGAACUGCACUGUAACAUAAUUAUCACCCUCCUGGGCCACUAUAGCCACAUGUUAUUGGGUGGGAUUAUACUGUAAAUUACGGAGCGAUUUGCAUCAAUAAGAACCAGCAAAAUAACCAUUGAGAGAAGGAUUAAAGCGGCACAUGACGCCAAGCCGCCACAGCUUUCUAAUCCUAUUGCUAGUGGCCACCAUUCACAGAACACGCUGUCAUUCAUGAUGCAAUAUUUACGGUCAGUGAAAUCAGCCCCGUUUCCUUUCAGAAUGACAUCUGCCGCUUCCGAGUGAUGACGGCUGCCGAUAGCUACUGGGAUCUCUGAGGUGGGCUGAGAAACCGGCGGGUCUAUGAGGCUGUUGUGCACCGGACCUUCCAUGAUCCUUACCAACAUCAAAAUCGAUGUCACAAUAGGAAUCGACUCCUACAGGCUGACAGUGUCAAUAGGAAAGCCGGGACGGAGCCGAGGCCAGACGGACUGCCUUCCACCUAGGGCAACGCUCCCGGCGUGGCCGGAGGCGCAAACGGUAGCGCACCGCAUCCUCAGAGGGCGCCCUGGAUUGCAAACCACUCACCAUUGCGGUCGUGGCGGAUCAGGUCGAACUCCCAGCAGGAAUCACGCAGCUUUGCCGCCGCCGCAGCAGUAACCGGCCUACAUACACACAUCGCCAGGUAUCCGCCCCGACUUCCGAGCGAGCGUCAGCCGCAUGAUCGAGCGGCUCCUGGUGUGACCUCCAUAUAUCGGGCCUUGCACCUGACUUCUCUGUACCUUACGCACUUCAAGAGUGUCACAGACAUUUUAUUUAAUUGUUUUAUACGUAUACCAAAAGCCUCCUAACUUCAUGCCCAAAGAAUGAUUUCUCUUACGUAUGCGUUGGUAAAUCCCCCCACCCCAUUACCGGUGGGUAAGAACCUUUAGUUACUAGUUCACUGCAUAAUUACUCUAGUGACUUUCAAUUGUAACUACAUUGCUUUAAUAAAAAUACCUUAUAACAGA